AACCAGCACCUCGAGUGGUCAGGAGGUUUAUUGGGCCUAAAGCAUCCGUAGCCGGUUGCAUAAGUUUUCGGUUAAAUCUAUGCGCUCAACGUAUAGGCCGCCGAAAAUACUGUGCAGCUAGGGAGUGGGAGAGGUACACGGUACUCAAUAGGAAGGGGUAAAAUCCUUUGAUCUAUUGAUGACCACCUGUGGCGAAGGCGGUGUACCAGAACACAUGCGACGUUGAGGGAUGAAAGCUGGGGGAGCAAACCGG
rnacentral:rRNA from 1 species